rfam:Wickerhamomyces anomalus NRRL Y-366-8 unplaced genomic scaffold WICANscaffold_2, whole genome shotgun sequence.
GGGAGUGUGGCCGAGUGGUUAAGGCGCCCGCUUCAGGUACUUGGGAAGUCUGCGGAUUUCUUCAAAAAGCCGGAUAUGCAGGUCUCUUUUAAGAGGCGCGAGUUCGAACCUCGUCACUUCCA